AGCAGCCGCGGUAAUUCCAGCUCCAAUAGCGUAUAUUAAAGUUGUUGCAGUUAAAAAGCUCGUAGUUGAAUUUCGGGGUCAAUACGUCGGUCGUGCCUCGGUACGCACUAACGUUAUUGAUUCCUCCCUUCUGACGAACCGUGAUGUCAUUAAUUUGGUGUUGUGGGGAAUCAGGACUGUUACCUUGAAAAAAUUAGAGUGUUUAAAGCAGGCAAUCGCUCGAAUACAUUAGCAUGGAAUAAUGAAAUAGGACGUUCGAACCUAUUUUGUUGGUUUCUAGGAUCGACGUAAUGAUUAAUAGGGAUAGUUGGGGGCAUUAGUAUUCAAUUGUCAGAGGUGAAAUUCUUGGAUUUAUUGAAGACUAACUACUGCGAAAGCAUUUGCCAAGGAUGUUUUCAUUAAUCAAGAACGAAAGUUAGGGGAUCGAAGACGAUCAGAUACCGUCGUAGUCUUAACCAUAAACUAUGCCGACUAGGGAUCGGAUGAUGUUAAUUUUUUAAUGACUCAUUCGGCGUCUUACG
rnacentral:rRNA from 1 species